rnacentral:rRNA from 1 species
UAGGGAAUCUUCCACAAUGGACGCAAGUCUGAUGGAGCAACGCCGCGUGAGUGAAGAAGGGUUUCGGCUCGUAAAGCUCUGUUGUUAAAGAAGAACGUGGGUAAGAGUAACUGUUUACUCAGUGACGGUAUUUAACCAGAAAGCCACGGCUAACUACGCGCCAG